GUUCCAGUAGCAAACAAGUGCUAUUCUUCCAAAGAAGAAUGAUUGCUCACUAAAGAAGGUAUAGUUUUGCCCUAAAACAUUGAUGUUUUUGGUAUGAACUUUAUAUUCAGUCUUUCCACAAACUUUGAGAACCAGUGGUCCUACUAGGUCUUAAGAGCCAAGUUGGACAUUUGCAGCCUGGACCAGCUACACAACCUUCCUCUGAGCCCUACUUAAAGUUGUCAGCUUUUCAAGUCACUCAGGAGCAGGAGCUGAGGAUCCUACAAAAUGUGGUAUAUGUUGCUUCUAAAAUUCAAAGAACAAUAUCAAUUAUUGGACAUUUUUCUAGAGGGAUCUGUACACUGAAGAAGCCUGAGUCCGUCUGCUGGUGAGACCACAUAGAAGAGAACUGAUGUAGCCUGGUCUUUAACCCCAGCUAAGUGCCACCUGCCUGCAAUGCAAGUAAACCCAGUCAACUCCAUCUGAAUCAGAGACGAGUCAUCUUAUCUGAGUCCUACACAAAUUGCUGCUUCAAGAACUAUGAACAAAUAAAUGGCUUUUAUAACA